CACGGCGAUUGGCCGGCGCCCCGCCCCUGCGCGCUCCCAUUGGCGGAGGGAGUCGCCGCUCCCGCUGAGUGAUUCACCGUCGCCAGGUGCGACCUCGGCCCCCGGCUCCCCGCCCCCCGGCGCUUGGCGCCUUUCCAAGCCGAGCCGCCUCCGAUUGGCCCGCGGGCCGGUCGCGUCCGGGGACCAGUGCGCACCUUCUGCAGCUUUUGCUUUACCAUGAUUUCAUCUUAACUGUUCUUGCCAAGUGGAAAACUUCCUGAACAUGGUUUCAUUGAGUGAAAAGUCCACACCUUUCUGCAAACCGGAAUCAUCCCGCCCAACGUGGGGCUCAAACUCGCAACCCCAAGAUCAAGAGUUGUAGGCUCUACCGACUAAGCCAGCUGGGCGCCUCAAGGAAUAAAAUUUUAAGACAGCAAACUUAGGAAGUCAGAACUCUGGCAUGAAAAUAUUUGAAAGGUCUGGAAGGACAUGCAUCAAACUAUGCCCCGCACCAGAGGGAA